GGCCGUCUAGCUCAGUUGGUUAGAGCGUCGUGCUAAUAUCGCGGUCUAAUUUGUGGCCAUAUUACGCGAAGGUCUUGGGUUCGACCCCCACGAUGGCCA